GAAAAAGCGGUCGGACGAGAACCCUUGUCUCGGCUGGAAGCAGCGGCGACUGCGGCUGCCGCUAUCUGCUCGAGCACAAAGGAAGCGAGGCGGACCCACGCACGCCGCUCCGCCCCUCACGGGCGGGCCCGGACGCCCCUCGGGGCGCUAGGGAGGAAAGGCAGGAGGGAACCGUUGGUGGAGUAGGCGCGAAGUGGGGUUUGGCGGGCAGCGCGCGGUUGUUUCCCCUCGCCUGGGGCAGUUUUCUUUGCCAUUGCCCGAGGUGCGAGGGCUGUGGCCGGCGCCCGAGGAGUCUGGUUUUGCAGCAGCCCCUGGGGCAGGGCGGGGGUGGCCUUUUCAGGGCCAGCGCCUGUGGGCUUGCCGGCGGAAGCUGGUCGGCGCGUUGGUGUUUUUGGUUCACUGCGGCGCUAUCGAGCGUUCCGGAGCCUUUGCCGGGGUGGCGGAAUCCUGAAGGAUGAAUGCGCUGGUGGCUUCCAGCGCGCCGAGUUGAUCUUUCCGACAGGUUGAAUGUGGAGCAUUUUAUAGUAACCUAUACAGAAAGUCAGCUUUAUCUGAUAAGGAGCUGGAACAUCCCUUCUGGAAACUGGCUGAAAGAUGCAUCGGCAUUGACUGCAGAGCUGCCUUCAAAGUGUGCUUUACAUGAAUACAGAGACUCUACACUGGGAGCAUAGCAGAUAUGGAGAAACAGAAACGAGACAAAAAUAUCAGGCAAUCUUCAGUCCGGGGUUCUCAUAGUUCAGUUCAUGUGUUUAAAAACAGGAGUAUCCUAUUUCUGUGUUGGAAACAUCAAGUUUCAUGCAAGGCCACUUAGUAAUGAAAGCCUCCUUACAAGGGGCAAUUCCUAUGGGUAAAAACUUCAAUGGCAUCACACCUAAAAUUUGCCAGGAGAACUGGCAUAGGUCUUCAGUAUUCAAGGCUAUCAAACCUUGUUUGAUAAUAUGCCUGUCAAGUGACUACUAAUUUAUCACAGCAUACUUUGUAAUUUUACUUGGCCAACAUUAACAGCACUGAAAGUCAUAAUCACUGCAAACAGGCCUAUAACAUUCAUGAAAAAAUACACAAGAUUUGGGUUCUUAAACACUGGGAGCUUAAAGAGAAAAAGGCAGAGAGCUGAGACAAAUAAACAUCUGUUGCAUGGCUGCUGUUUUGAUCAGCACUAAAGAGAGCAGCCAGAGGUGCCUAGAGAUUCUGGUGUGAAGAACAAGAUCCCAGCUACUGGCAUCUCCUGUCUUGUCUGACAGGGAUCAGCUUCCCCAGCUGGCCUUCCAAGCUUCUCUUGGUACACCAGUGCAAACCCCUUAGCCUAGGGAGGUAAAGCUCCAAUAAGCUAGGUGAGCCUUUAGCAGGGCUUCAGCUGAAAGGGUUUAUUUAGUACUCAUUUUCUUCCAAAAGAAGCACGAGGAGAACAUCUUCCUGCUGAUUGGGAGGGUCAGCAGUAAAACUGAAGUGAACCAGUGAUGAUACAAAGAGCUGCAACCUAAGUGGAUAUAAUGAGGGCUGGAAGUGUGCAGAUGCUAACAGUAAGGCAGAUGGUGACAUUUAUUGACUGUAACAUUUAUUGGCAGUAGCAUUUAUUGAUGGAUCAUUAAAAGGCUUCUAUCACCUUGGCACUUCAAUACCUACUGCAUAGGAAACAGAUUGUGCUGUAGGACUAAAAAUAAAAGCUCCAUCAGCUCACGUGGUCUGCUGCAAAAAUAGUCCAGAGAGCACUUGAAAACUUGAUCAAGCUGAUAGACAUUAUGCUGAGCCUUGCUGUGUGCCAGGCUGGAGCCCUGGCCAGGUGCCAAAGGGAGCAAAUUCCCAAACCCCUCCCCUCAGCAUACCUUGCUGUCGUUACCAGCAAGUGCAACCCACACACCCAAAAAACAGCAAGGGUGACCCAGCAGAUGGUAGCACUUGCUGUGCCAUGAGGAGACUGAUUUCCCAUGUGAAUGGGAACUCAUCCAGUUUUACAGUUUUAUCAAGUGUACCCAAUAAAUUGACCAAUCAUACAACUGUGAAUAAGAAUCCUCUUGUAAACCUCAUCAACUAACCAACGUUAUGAAAUUACCUGUUCAGUCUUCUUUUUAACAAAGCAAAGUGUGGAUACAUUAUAAAUAUGCCAACAGGGGAGUUGUACAUUUUCUUACUCCUGCUCCUGCUCUGUGUUCUCCUCCUGCCUCUAAUCCCUUGUGCUUCCUUCCAUCCUGCAGUACUUCAGCAAUAUCCUGAAAACUGCCUGUCUACUGCCAAAGACUUUGGAAUGAAGUGGAGGACAGGCUAUUCACACUAGUAGCAGGAUGCUGCAUCACGCUGGUAACAGCUGCAUGUUUAAAAGCAGAACAGGCAUAGAUCUGUGGCAAACAUUUAUAGUAUUGAAAGUGUAUGAACAGGAAAUUACUCUACAAAUUCAAGGGUCAGUAUGUGUAGCUUCCAACCCAAUGGGCCUGUAUCUCAGAGAGGAGUAUUUUCUUCUGUUAACCUAGUUUAUACUAAGUGAAUUUACCACGCAGCAAAGAGUGAAUGUCAUUAGCAUUCACUCUGAGUGAGAGAAUGGCUUUGACUGUGGUUCUGCUUAUUUGACUUCUCUCACUAUACUUUAUCUGUCAUGCUGAAUGCUUGGCCCACUUUGCUUCUAGAAGGCAUACUGCGACGUCUGCUAAGGAAUGGAGCCUGGGUGAAAUCCAGUUCCUGCUACUGCAGUCAAUCACUUUAACCCACUCAUUACACUCUCCUCUGAAAAUGGUGGUGUUAUUUGCCCCACUAUUUCUUAAUAAGCAUUGAUGAUUUCUCUGGCUAGAACCAGGUAUCUUCUACUGAUUUUCAGCGUAGAUUUAUUCAGUCCCUGUUUAUAUCCAUUUAUUCUCAUGCUAGUAAUGUCCUUAAGUCGCUUCUUGCCUGUCUCUCUGUGAUAUUUACUCACUAUUUAUAGACAGUUCUCCUGUACCUUUUCUCAGGCUUUGUUUCACCAGGGCAAACAAGACAAGCUCCCAUAAGAUCGCUGUCAGUCUUCUAAUGUCUCUGUUUCAGUAUGAUUUGAUUUUUCUGGAACAUGAGUGCCCAAGUUUCUGUGCUAUACUUCAAAUAAGGUUUUAUUAAUGACUCUGUAACGCUAUUUCUUACCUUUAGUCUGCUUGAAAUACUUCAUCAGAUACAUCUUAGAUCCAUUUGCUCUGUGAAUGGCCAUGUUGGUCCUCUGUAAUCAGGGGUCUUCACAAAAGUUUUAGAGCUUGCUGUUAAAAAAGUGUCACAGAUUCAUCAACUUUAAGGGAGCCAUGACAAAUUGCACCAGCUGGGGACCUGCAUCUGAUAUUUCUCUGUGGCUGGCCCCAAAUGGUGGAGCUCACUGCCAACUCCCCUCCCCCAAGACCUUCCCCAGGGGAACCACUGAUUUGCUUCUGUCCAGUCCACACUGCUAAAAUAGUUUUUAUUCCAUCUCAUAGUAAUGAAAUGCAGGGGAAAAUUUGUCAAAUACUAUUGACUAGGUAUGCAUGUGUUAAAAAAAGCCCAACCAAAUAAUCUGAGAAUCUAAGCUCCUUUUCUUUUGGUUUAAAUUAAAAACAUUUUCAAUCAUUUUA